UGGGGAAUAUUGCACAAUGGGCGCAAGCCUGAUGCAGCCAUGCCGCGUGUGUGAAGAAGGCCUUCGGGUUGUAAAGCACUUUCAGCGGGGAGGAAGGCGGUGAGGUUAAUAACCUCAUCGAUUGACGUUACCCGCAGAAGAAGCACCGGCUAACUCCGUGCCAGCAGCCGCGGUAAUACGGAGGGUGCAAGCGUUAAUCGGAAUUACUGGGCGUAAAGCGCACGCAGGCGGUCUGUCAAGUCGGAUGUGAAAUCCCCGGGCUCAACCUGGGAACUGCAUUCGAAACUGGCAGGCUAGAGUCUUGUAGAAGGGGGUAGAAUUCCAGGUGUAGCGGUGAAAUGCGUAGAGAUCUGGAGGAAUACCGGUGGCGAAGGCGGCCCCCUGGACAAAGACUGACGCUCAGGUGCGAAAGCGUGGGGAGCAAACAGG
rnacentral:rRNA from 1 species